rnacentral:rRNA from 1 species
CCUACGGGAGGCAGCAGUGAGGAAUAUUGGUCAAUGGACGCAAGUCUGAACCAGCCAUGCCGCGUGCAGGAAGACGGCUCUAUGAGUUGUAAACUGCUUUUGUACGAGGGUAAACGCAGAUACGCGUAUCUGUCUGAAAGUAUCGUACGAAUAAGGAUUGGCUAACUCCGUGCCAGCAGCCGCGGUAAUACGUAGGAUUCAAGCGUUAUCCGGAUUUAUUGGGUUUAAAGGGUGCGUAGGCGGUCGGAUAAGUUAGAGGUGAAAUCCCGAGGCUCAACUUCGGAAUUGCCUCUGAUACUGUUCGGCUAGAGAGUAGUUGCGGUAGGCGGAAUGUAUGGUGUAGCGGUGAAAUGCUUAGAGAUCAUACAGAACACCGAUUGCGAAGGCAGCUUACCAAGCUACUUCUGACGUUGAGGCACGAAAGCGUGGGUAGCAAACAGGAUUAGAUACCCCAGUAGUC